rnacentral:lncRNA from 1 species
AGAGCGAUGGUGGCCCAGGGUCAUCCAUUCAGAGAUAUCCAGGCGAAUUGGUUUUCUGUCGGAAAAUGAAAGGCAUCGUCCAUCGAUACUGGUAGCCUAGCCUGGAUAAAUGGGAUAAGCUCUCCAUCAGCUUGGAUAAAUGGGAUGGAGUGAAGCUAGAAUUUGUUAGGUUUUUCAAAAAAGAAAAAAAAGAAAAGAAAAGAAGAGCAGACUUUGCACAU